UAGGGAAUCUUCGGCAAUGGACGGAAGUCUGACCGAGCAACGCCGCGUGAGUGAAGAAGGUUUUCGGAUCGUAAAGCUCUGUUGUAAGAGAAGAACGAGUGUGAGAGUGGAAAGUUCACACUGUGACGGUAUCUUACCAGAAAGGGACGGCUAACUACGUGCCAGCAGCCGCGGUAAUACGUAGGUCCCGAGCGUUGUCCGGAUUUAUUGGGCGUAAAGCGAGCGCAGGCGGUUAGAUAAGUCUGAAGUUAAAGGCUGUGGCUUAACCAUAGUAGGCUUUGGAAACUGUUUAACUUGAGUGCAAGAGGGGAGAGUGGAAUUCCAUGUGUAGUGGUGAAAUGCGUAGAUAUAUGGAGGAACACCGGUGGCGAAAGCGGCUCUCUGGCUUGUAACUGACGCUGAGGCUCGAAAGCGUGGGGAGCAAACAGGAUUAGAUACCCUGGUAGUCCACGCUGUAAACGAUGAGUGCUANGUGUUAGACCCUUUCCGGGGUUUAGUGCCGUAGCUAACGCAUUAAGCACUCCGCCCUGGGGAGUACGACCGCAAGGUUG
rnacentral:rRNA from 1 species